rnacentral:rRNA from 1 species
GAUGAACGCUGGCGGCGUGCUUAACACAUGCAAGUCGAACGGUGAAGCAGGAGCUUGCUCUUGUGGAUCAGUGGCGAACGGGUGAGUAACACGUGAGCAACCUGCCCCUGACUCUGGGAUAAGCGCUGGAAACGGCGUCUAAUACUGGAUAUGUGAUGUGACCGCAUGGUCUGCAUCUGGAAAGAAUUUCGGUUGGAGAUGGGCUCGCGGCCUAUCAGCUUGUUGGUGAGGUAAUGGCUCACCAAGGCGUCGACGGGUAGCCGGCCUGAGAGGGUGACCGGCCACACUGGGACUGAGACACGGCCCAGACUCCUACGGGAGGCAGCAGAGGGGAAUAUUGCACAAUGGGCGGAAGCCUGAUGCAGCAACGCCGCGUGAGGGAUGACGGCCUUCGGGUUGUAAACCUCUUUUAGCAGGGAAGAAGCGAAAGUGACGGUACCUGCAGAAAAAGCACCGGCUAACUACGUGCCAGCAGCCGCCGUAA